GAACGAACGCUGGCGCAUGCCUAACACAUGCAAGUCGAACGAGAUCUUCGGGUCUAGUGGCGCACGGGUGCGUAACGCGUGGGAAUCUGCCCUUGGGUUCGGAAUAACUUCGGGAAACUGAAGCUAAUACCGGAUGAUGACGUAAGUCCAAAGAUUUAUCGCCCAAGGAUGAGCCCGCGUAGGAUUAGCUAGUUGGUGAGGUAAAGGCUCACCAAGGCGACGAUCCUUAGCUGGUCUGAGAGGAUGAUCAGCCACACUGGGACUGAGACACGGCCCAGACUCCUACGGGAGGCAGCAGUGGGGAAUAUUGGACAAUGGGCGAAAGCCUGAUCCAGCAAUGCCGCGUGAGUGAUGAAGGCCUUAGGGUUGUAAAGCUCUUUUGCCCGGGAUGAUAAUGACAGUACCGGGAGAAUAAGCUCCGGCUAACUCCGUG
rnacentral:rRNA from 1 species